CAUCUUUUGCAGUCCAGGCUAUCAAGUGGCUGCUUUUCCCAUAUAACUCUACAUGUGGAGUAGCAGUCCUCAGCUGUGACUUGGUGUGACCAAAAGCAAGAAAUACAUUGUUGGAUACCUCUUCCCCAUAAUUUUACCUGCAAAUUGAAGAUCAUAUAAUGCAAAGGAAUUCUGAAGAACACUGAAGGUUUUCAUCUGACACUCCAGUUUUAGGGGCAGGUUGUUUCAUUGAUCUUAAAGAUCUUUCUUCUGUGUAAAUAGUAAAUACAUCGCUUGUUGCAAAUUAUUUUUUCCUUUGUAUCAAUAAAUAUUAAGUAAUGCAAA